AGAGUUUGAUCCUGGCUCAGAUUGAACGCUGGCGGCAUGCUUUACACAUGCAAGUCGAACGGCAGCACGGGUGCUUGCACCUGGUGGCGAGUGGCGUACGGGUGAGUAAUGCACCGGAACGUACCCAGUAAUGGGGGAUAACACAUCGAAAGAUGUGCUAAUACCGCAUACGCCCUGAGGGGGAAAGCGGGGGAUCGUAAGACCUCGCGUUAUUGGAGCGGCCGAUGCCGGAUUAGCUAGUUGGUGAGGUAAGAGCUCACCAAGGCGACGAUCCGUAGCUGGUCUGAGAGGACGACCAGCCACACUGGGACUGAGACACGGCCCAGACUCCUACGGGAGGCAGCAGUGGGGAAUUUUGGACAAUGGGCGCAAGCCUGAUCCAGCCAUGCCGCGUGAGUGAAGAAGGCCUUCGGGUUGUAAAGCUCUUUCGCAAGGAAAGAAAACUUAUCU
rnacentral:rRNA from 1 species